AACGAGAAGUGAUAGUUCAGUAGAGGAGUGUAGAGGGAGUCACAUGCAUCACAUGAGCAUGUCAUGCUUCUAUUGGUGAGGAGGUGACGCAUAAUGAUUUGCAGGAGAGACAUAUUGGAAUCUUGAAAUUCCAAUAGGAUGGAGCAGAAGGCUUGUGGCAUGCAUAAGAACAUGUUUGCAUGCAGAGAACAACACUGAACGAGAAUAGCUGAUCUUGUGAGAGGAGAAGCAGUGUCCAUUCCAAUAAAUGGGAAAUUCAGCAUGGAGAGCAGCACAGCAUUUUUACUUUCUGCCCCAGGUGAAAAUUUGGUUCACUCCUGCUGAUGAGCAUUGUUAGUCAAGCACUGAAAUACAGAGAAGUUAGUGAAAGUGAAAAAAGUUAGACCGAGUGAUUGCCAGUUUAGACAUAACAGCCAAUUUCUAAAGUGAAAGUUUCACAGUUUGUAUUGCAACAACAGAGAUAAAGAAGAAGAAGAAUUUGUUUUGUCAAUUGGGUUCUAAAGUAAUUGAACCAGCAUGUGUGGAAGUUUGACGAAAAAGGGAAUUAUUUAAAGCUCUACAUUCGACUGUGGUAAACAAUAGUGUAAUGAAUUUUUGUACAUAUGUUGA